UUCUGUCAUUUUCCUUGUUCUCUUACAAUGUGAAACCAUUUUGAACAUUGAGUCAAAAGAGAAAGGUUGAAUGGUUUUGCUGAAGUACAAUUUAUACUCAGGAGACACAUUCUCUAUGGCCAUACUAAUAUUAGAAGUCUCAGAGAGAGUGCAAUCAAUCACUUAUGAUGUAGCCUCUCUAAAUCUAUGGAUGAAGUUUGCAAACAACUCGUUGAGAUUUUGUCAGGCGGGGACCAAUUAGCCAAAGGUCAUUGUUCUCUCUCUGGUCCCUUGAUAUUGGUCGACAAAAUGUCGAAACAAUUCAUCGGAAGUGUAGUCAAGGUUUUUUAUAACCAUCUCCCAGAACUAGGCCAAGGGUUGUCCAUAGAGGGUGUCUUGGAACAUUGUCUUGAGUUGUCUAUUUAAAAGAACCAAAAGAGAUAAAAGGUAAGCAGUGACAUGAUUCUCAGCGUCACCCGACCCACUAAACGUCUUUUCAAAUUGGGGGAAUUUGAAGCCGGAUGGGAAGGGUUCGUUAUUCCUAAGGACUAUGUUAGGAACUCUUUUUUUAUCAAAAUUUUCUUUGAAGGUGGAUAGUUCGCCUUGCAAUUGGGUGAGCACGACUGACUUGGGGGCUUAGCCUCCGUGUACUGCUGGUUGUCCGAUAUUGAUGGCAUAGUUUGAGGUUCAAGAGAGACAACCGGUGUGGACUGCAUUGGACCAGGAGUAGAAGCCGGGUGAGCAUGCGAAGCGGCUGGAGCAGGGUAAGGAAGUGGCAUAGGUGAAGAGGCUUAAGCCGGAUAGAGAGGCGGUGCAGGCAUAGGGGCCUGAGCCGAGGGAUAAUAUAGGUAGGUCUGAGGAGUGACUUGAACUAGUGAAGCUGGGGGCUGAUAAGCCGACACCAGUUGGGCUUGAAGUAAGCAUGGGUUGCAGACUCCAGACUGACUAACUAAAUUGGGUUGACCACAUGGUUCAAGAGGACCCUGACCAUGCCGAUGGGUUGGGAUUUGAGGUGGGUUUGGAUGAGUGUUUCGGCGAUGACGGCUCGCCUAGGGGGUGGAAUGGGUCUAACUAUGUUGGUUGGAGGCAGAAGAUGGCACCUGACCUUGACUUGGAUGUUGGCUCAAGAGUCGAGAGGGUCACAGGGUUGGGCAAGGCCAGUGCGUCGCAAGAAGGCUCUGACCUCGGGUAAGUCCCUAAGAUGCUUGAUUUAGAGGGACUUGUAGUCCCUAGAAAUGUUUGAAGGUGCACCUUGGUGAGUGGAGGGCUAGCUUGAUGAACUCUUGGGUUUAGGCAAAGAUUCUUGUUUCUCUAGUUUUCUUUGGUAACUAGCCUUGUUUGGGUCCU
rnacentral:lncRNA from 1 species